rnacentral:rRNA from 1 species
AGAGUUUGAUCCUGGCUCAGAACGAACGCUGGCGGCGUGGAUAAGACAUGCAAGUCGAACGCUAAUUUCAGGGUAGCAAUAUUCUGAGGUUGGAGUGGCGCAAGGGUGCGUAACACGUGGGUAAUUUGCCGCGAAGUUGGGGAUAACUCGCUGAAAGGCGAGCUAAUACCGAAUGUGGUCACUAGGAGGCAUCUCCUGGUGUCUAAAGUUGGGGACCGCAAGGCCUGACGCUUCACGAUAAGCCCGCGGCCUAUCAGCUAGUUGGUGAGGUAACGGCUCACCAAGGCUAAGACGGGUAGCUGGUCUGAGAGGACGACCAGUCACACUGGAACUGAGACACGGUCCAGACACCUACGGGUGGCAGCAGUCGAGAAUUUUUCUCAAUGGGCGAAAGCCUGAAGGAGCGACGCCGCGUGGGGGAUGAAGGGCUUCGGCCCGUAAACCCCUGUCAUUUGCGAACAAACCUUCCGACCCAACACGUCGGAAGCUGAUUGUAGCGAAAGAGGAAGGGACGGCUAACUCUGUGCCAGCAGCCGCGGUAAUACAGAGGUCCCAAGCGUUGUUCGGAUUCACUGGGCGUAAAGGGUGCGUAGGUGGCAGGGUAAGUUUGAUGUGAAAUCUCCGGGCUUAACCCGGAAACUGCAUUGAAUACUAUCCUGCUAGAGGGUUGGAGGGGGGACUGGAAUUCUCGGUGUAGCAGUGAAAUGCGUAGAUAUCGAGAGGAACACCAGUGGCGAAGGCGAGUCCCUGGACAACUCCUGACACUGAGGCACGAAAGCUAGGGGAGCAAACAGGAUUAGAUACCCUAGUAGUCC